CAUUGGUUAUUUCCUGCGCUUGCAGAUGAGUCGCCCAGGAGCCCCAGGCAGAGGAGAAGCUGGAAGAAGUGGAGCUGAGCAGGCUGGACAUCCCGGUAAGCAGAGAUGAACAGUCCUGAGCUUUCUGCCUUUCCCAGCACUGGGUGUGAGUCAGCGGUGACGGCACUCUCUUCCUCAGCUCUUCCCAGGGGAAAGAAGUCAUGAGGACGGAGUCCAGCCCCGAGGUGAGAAGGAAGGUGAGCGAGAGCAGUGACAGCGUGAAUCCUGUUGAUGCCAGGCAAGACCUGUCCAGCUGGGAGCGAAGCAGCUGUCGCUGUCAGUGAGGUGGACGCUGCCUUCUGGGUCCUAGUGCCUGUCGGGCUCCCCGUCUGCGUGCUGGGAGGAGCCAUCAUGUUCUCUGUACAGCAGUGAGUGCGUG